rnacentral:rRNA from 1 species
AGAUUGAACGCUGGCGGCAUGCCUUACACAUGCAAGUCGAACGGUAACAGGUUAAGCUGACGAGUGGCGAACGGGUGAGUAAUAUAUCGGAACGUGCCCAGUAGUGGGGGAUAGCCCGGCGAAAGCCGGAUUAAUACCGCAUACGACCUACGGGUGAAAGCAGGGGAUCGCAAGACCUUGCGCUAUCGGAGCGGCCGAUGUCAGAUUAGCUUGUUGGUGGGGUAAAAGCCCACCAAGGCGACGAUCUGUAGCUGGUCUGAGAGGACGACCAGCCACGCUGGGACUGAGACACGGCCCAGACUCCUACGGGAGGCAGCAGUGGGGAAUUUUGGACAAUGGGCGCAAGCCUGAUCCAGCCAUGCCGCGUGCGGGAAGAAGGCCUUCGGGUGUAACCGCUUUGUCAGGGAAGAAAGCUUCGGGCUAAUACCUUGAAGUCAUGACGGUACCUGAAGAAUAAGCACCGGCUAACUACGUGCCAGCAGCCGC